CGGCCGAGAAAUGUGGGGAAGUCCCUUCUGUGCCAAGCUUGCCUUGUGACUGAAACUCCCUAUACUUAACUUCCUAAAUGGCAACCUUGCUCCUUGAUCUAUAAAUGGAGGGGAGGAUCCUCAGCAGCAUCCUCAGCACCCAACACAGAUGAUAAAUGCGGGCGUGGGACCCUGAAGUUGGUCCUUCGAGCAGUCCUCCAAGC
rnacentral:misc_RNA from 1 species